UUGGCUAAAAUAUCUUAAUCACUUCUGAGAAAACACAGUCUGUAUUUGAUUAGUAUUUCACAUGCUAUCCUGUCAGAGAAGCAGGUAGUACUAUCAGUGUAGAAACCCCACUCUCUUAUUUUCUAGUCUGAAAAGACUGGAGAUACAAAAUGCUUUGCCCUUUCUUAACCUAUGUGACUGAAAUGCAGAAAAACAUAAAACAAGAUAACUCGAUUGGAUUUAUGCCACACAUCACAUUCACCUAAUUUACAAAUACUUAUUUCACAGACUUGCCUGGAAGCCAUGCAGUACAGCAACAAAGUAUAAGACUUCUUAGUAUUAGUCAGAGUCUGAUUAUAGCAAGGUGUGAAAUUGGUGUAAUCAGUUGUGAAAUCCCUACUUCACUUUCAUCCAUUCCUCCCCAAAAAGCUCUCUGCAAGCCAAUUAAGAGUAAUUAGCUCAUCAAAGAAAGAUGAGGGGUUUUUCUGAUUCUCCAUGUAUUUAAUUCAGGUUUGUAAUGUCUGUCUCCUGUUAGCAGAAAUGUGUUAGCAAUCCAAUUAUACAUUUCCAAGGGAAAUACUG